AACGAACGCUGGCGGCAGGCCUAACGCAUGCAAGUCGAGCGAGGACUUCGGUCCUAGCGGUGGACGGGUGAGUAACGCGUGGGAACGUGCCCCUUGGUACGGAAUAGCCCCGGGAAACUGGGAGUAAUACCGUAUGAGCUCUACGGAGGAAAGAUUUAUCGCCAAGGGAUCAGCCCGCGUUGGAUUAGGUAGUUGGUGGGGUAAUGGCCUACCAAGCCGACGAUCCAUAGCUGGUUUGAGAGGAUGAUCAGCCACACUGGGACUGAAACACGGCCCAGACUCCUACGGGAGGCAGCAGUGGGGAAUCUUAGACAAUGGGCGCAAGCCUGAUCUAGCCAUGCCGCGUGAGCGAUGAAGGCCUUAGGGUUGUAAAGCUCUUUCAGCUGGGAAGAUAGUGACUGUACCAGCAGAAGAAGCCCCGGCUAACUCCGUGCCAGCAGCCGCAGUAAUAC
rnacentral:rRNA from 1 species